rnacentral:rRNA from 1 species
CCUACGGGUGGCAGCAGUGGGGAAUAUUGGGCAAUGGGCGCAAGCCUGACCCAGCAACGCCGCGUGAAGGAAGAAGGCUUUCGGGUUGUAAACUUCUUUUAAGAGGGAAGAGCAGAAGACGGUACCUCUUGAAUAAGCCACGGCUAACUACGUGCCAGCAGCCGCGGUAAUACGUAGGUGGCAAGCGUUGUCCGGAUUUACUGGGUGUAAAGGGCGUGCAGCCGGGCCGACAAGUCAGAUGUGAAAUCCGCGGGCUUAACCCGCGAACUGCAUUUGAAACUAUUGGUCUUGAGUACCGGAGAGGUCAUCGGAAUUCCGUGUGUAGCGGUGAAAUGCGGAGAUAUAAGGAAGAACACCAGUGGCGAAGGCGGAUGACUGGACGGCAACUGACGGUGAGGCGCGAAAGCGUGGGGAGCAAACAGGAUUAGAUACCCGAGUAGUC